AAAUUUGCCCUUUUCCAUUGGAUGACUCGGUCAUUUACUCUCCCUCUUUCUUCCGCUUCUUCACGUACUUCCCUCUUCCCACUCCGUCUCCUUCUCGCUUGCUUUAAUGGCCAAGAUCUCACAUCCGCCGCACAAGAAUUCCAUUUCUACCACCGCUAAUUCUCAGUCUUCUACAGUCCAUCACAGCCAGAAGAAGGUACUCAAGCGUACGCGUAAGUCCACUCCUCGAGAUGCUCCCGCUCAGCGUAGCUCUGUUUACCGCGGAGUCACCAGGCAUAGAUGGACGGGACGGUAUGAGGCGCAUUUGUGGGAUAAGAAUUGCUGGAAUGAAGGACAGAAUAAGAAAGGAAGACAAGUGUAUUUAGGUGCGUAUGAUGAUGAAGAAGCAGCGGCUCAUGCUUACGACCUUGCUGCGCUCAAGUACUGGGGAACUGAAAUUGUUCUCAACUUUCCACUAUUAACAUACCAAGACGAGCUUAAAGAAAUGGAAGGUCAAUCAAGAGAGGAGUAUAUUGGAUAUUUGAGAAGGAAGAGUAGCGGCUUUUCUCGCGGGGUUUCGAAGUACAGAGGUGUAGCAAGGCACCAUCAUAAUGGAAGAUGGGAAGCUCGAAUCGGCAGAGUGUUUGGCAACAAAUACCUUUACCUUGGAACAUACGCUACCCAAGAGGAAGCUGCCACAGCUUACGACAUGGCUGCCAUAGAAUACCGUGGCCUUAACGCCGUUACAAAUUUCGACCUCAGCCGUUACAUCAAAUGCCUCCGUCCGGAGGAACAAGAUAUCCCAAACAAUAAUAACCGUCCACCAAGCCCUAACGCCGGCAAAACGACUUCAGAAUUGGACCCCAAAUCCCUCCUUGAAUUCACCUUUCCGUCCCAAUGUUCGAGCUCCGACCAACCCAUCUCCACGCCACCACUGGGACCUGGCGGCGGUGACUCCUCCUCGUCGAAGGCGCUGGAGCUUCUACUCCAUUCCUCAAAAUUUAAAGAUAUAGUAGAAAGAAAACCCACCGCCGACCCUCCACAGACGCCGCCGGAAUCUGACCGGCCUCGCCGCUGUAUUCCCGACGACAUUCAAACUUACUUCGAUUGUACUCAAGAUUCCGACGACAUUGCCGAAGGCGACGACGGCAUUUUUGGGUAUCUAAAUUCGUUUUUACCUUCAUCAAUUUUUCACUACGCACUCGAUGCUUAAUUAGGUAGGAUCAAAAGAGGGGAUUGAGGAAUUUAACGUCCGACGAGAUCAGCACAAGAAAAUAACUUCGGCCAUGGCCAUGGCGGAUUACGAAUAUCGGGAACGGCGAUAAUGGAGGCGUGGCCUGAGGCAGCUCACUACUUAGGAAUUGAUUUCGUGUGGCCCGGGAUUGAUUUCAGACGGGUUCCCUGAGAACGAACAUGAAGAGAAAAGCCUCUGCAAACUUGUUUCAAAUUCAACACAAUUUAACACUCCACUACAAUGUGUGAGCAAAUGAACCUGAUCCCGUAUAUGAUAUUUUAUACUUAGACGUCCCUUCCCUUCCUGAUCAAGUUUGAAAUGAAAACAAAAAGCAUGUAAAUCAAUGCACAUAUUGUCCUAAAAAGAAUAAUUUGUUCC